ACUCUCUUAGUAUAAAUAAUAUAACUGACUUCCAAUCAGUAGAUUCUGAAAUUACCGGAAGAGAGUA
rnacentral:tRNA from 1 species